UCCACACAUAAGGUCCUAAUCAAAAUACAAGAAAGAAAGAAAAAAAAAAUAAGCCUUAGUUAAUUUUCCGAAGAAAGAUGGUGAGUACACAAAACAAAACCCCUUUCAAUUUCUCUGCUCUCAAUUAAAGACCCCUUUUUUCAUUGCAGCCUCUAUUAUUAUUCAUCCCUUUCCUUUCUAAUCUUAACCACUUUAAACUUUUUGAACACCAAUGGCAACCCUUAACUUUCUUGAGGCUUCACCCUUUUGCAUCUCAAUGUCGUUGUUUGUUUCAGCAUCUUCUACCACAGUCUCCAAUGUCAUCCUAUUUUCUGAACAACACUUUAAUACCUCAAUGGUUAUCUCUGUCUCUUUCUCUUUGUUCUCCUUGUGUUUGCCCCAGAGAAUUGAGUAAAGUCCCAUUACUAUGAGAAUAGCUCCAAUGACCCUGAAAUCACAUGCAUAUAAAUCCACAUCAAUAAUUGUUGUUUACCACUAUUUCAAAGUUUGAGCUUUUUAAGAUUGUGAUGUUUCAACUUUUAUGUAAGAAACACCAAACUUUUAGUUUAUGAAACAAAAGAGAGUCAAUUAAAACUUAUAAACUUCUUUCUUUGUGCCUAAAAACAUGAUAUGUUCAUUGGGAGUGAAUAUGAGUAUUGAGUACUUACCCUCCAAGAUAUAUUUUUUCUGCAAGGAUGAAGGCACCCAUGAUGGAUCAAAGGGCUGAAAGCAGUAACGAAAACAGGCCCUUUUUUAUGCAUGACAAUCCCUUGAACAUAGUAGGUGAUACCUGAUGAUAUUAUUCCCUGGUUCACCAAAGUUUACGUCCAUUUAGAUUCUCAUAUGAUAUGGUUCAACAACAAAUACACAGAAAAAUAUAAUAAAAAUUAUUGUAUAAUCCGAGACUAACACAUGUCUAUAAUCUUGACUCCUGAUUAAUAUAAUAAUUUAUCAGAUAGAUCAUAGAUGCAUAGACAAAUAGAGAGGGAGAGUGGCUUACAUCAUAGGCUGCAGCAAGAAGGUUCAUGUCCCAGCCAAUGGUCGAAACAGAUGGUUUAUGCUCCAUGACAAAGGUAACUGCAAUUGACUACAGUGUACCUAAGGACCAUGGCUACUCCACCUACCUCGCCUCCUCAUCCUCCUCCUCCUCCUCCUGCAGACGCAUCAAAGUCUCCGUCUACCUUGAAGCAAACACGCAAAGCCACACGGCUACGAUCCUUGGCCACUAGACCACCUGGGGCAGAAAGACCAGUGGUCCACAUCGAUCCUGCGACCAGCAAGGCCGACGGUCCCCACAAGAAGAAAUUAAGAACAUAUUUGGGGAUUGUCACUCGUGAUAAGGUCGACGUGACAUACGAGAACUGGAAGGAAGUCCCUGCUGCUCAGAUGGAUUUGAUAUGGUAGAAUUUGAAAUCCCUAAAGCUUCUGACAGUAGGACAAAGAAGAAAGUUCUUCAGACUGUAGGCAAGCGGUGGAGGCAGUUUAAAUCAGACUUGACGAGGAAAUAGGCACUUGCAGCCGACAAGGACGGCGUGGACGACAUUGUCUAUGAAAAAUACGACAUUAGCAAGGAGAAAUGAGCCCAAUUUUGUCAGACCUGAAGAGACCCUACGUGAGAGGAUGUGCGGAAAAAGGCACAGGCCAUCCAGAAGCAAAACACUU